ACUCCUACGGGAGGCAGCAGUGGGAAUAUUGCACAAUGGGGAAGGCCAUCGAUGCAGCCAUGCCGCGCUGUGUGAAGAAGGCCAAUUCGGGCUUGGUUAAAGACACUUUUCAGUAGGGAGGAAGGUAGUGUAGUUAACACCUGCACUAUUUGACGUUACCUACAGAAGAAGCACCGGCUAACUCCGUGCCAGCAGCCGCGGUAAUACGGAGGGUGCGAGCGUUAAUCGGAAUUACUGGGCGUAAAGCGCAUGCAGGCGGCCUGUUAAGUCAGAUGUGAAAGCCCGGGC
rnacentral:rRNA from 1 species